rnacentral:rRNA from 1 species
AACGAACGCUGGCGGCAGGCCUAACACAUGCAAGUCGAACGGUUGUAGCAAUACAGCCGUGGCGCACGGGUGAGUAACGCGUGGGAAUAUACCGAGAGGUGGGGAAUAAAUCCGGGAAACUGGAGAUAAUACCGCAUACGCCCGAGAGGGGAAAGAUUUAUCGCUUUUCGAUUAGCCCGUGUGAGAUUAGGUAGGUGGGGGGGUAAUGGCCUACCAAGCCGACGAUCUCUAGCUGGUCGGAGAGGAUGAUCAGCCAGACGGGAACUGAGACACGGUCCAGACUCCUACGGGAGGCAGCAGUGGGGAAUAUUGGACAAUGGGCGAAAGCCUGAUCCAGCCAUGCCGCGUGAAUGAUGAAGGCCUUAGGGUUGUAAAGUUCUUGCGCCGACGAAGAUAAUGACGGUAGUCGGAGAAGAAGCCCCGGCUAACUUCGUGCCAGCCGCCGCGGUAA